CGAACGCUGGCGGCGUGCUUAACACAUGCAAGUCGAGCGAUGAAGUUUCUUCGGAAAUGGAUUAGCGGCGAACGGGUGAGGAACACGUGAAGAAUCUGCCCUCCACUUUGGGAUAACACCGGGAAACCGGUGCUAAUACCGAAUAUUGAAACAUAAGUGGCAUCACUGAGUUUUUGAAAGAAUUUCGGUGGAGGAUGACUUCGCGGCCUAUCAGCUAGUUGGUGAGGUAAUGGCUCACCAAGGCAACGACGGGUAGCCGGCCUGAGAGGGCGACCGGCCACACUGGGACUGAGACACGGCCCAGACUCCUACGGGAGGCAGCAGUGGGGAAUAUUGGGCAAUGGAGGAAACUCUGACCCAGCGACGCCGCGUGCGGGAUGAAGGCCUUCGGUUGUAACCGCUUUCAGUAGGAAGAAGCGAAAGUGACGGUACCUACAAACGAAGCACCGGCUAACUAUGCGCCAGCAG
rnacentral:rRNA from 1 species